UACAGAGGGUGCAAGCGUUAAUCGGAAUUACUGGGCGUAAAGCGUGCGUAGACGGUCACGUAAGUCGGGUGUGAAAGCCCCGGGCUCAACCUGGGAAUUGCAUUCGAGACUGCAUGGCUAGGGUGCGGAAGAGGGAAGCGGAAUUUCCGGUGUAGCGGUGAAAUGCGUUGAGAUCGGAAGGAACGCCCGUGGCGAAAGCGCGGCCCUGGACUCUUUCUGACGCUGAGACGCGAAAGCUAGGGGAGCGAACGGG
rnacentral:rRNA from 1 species